UACGUAGGGGGCAAGCGUUGUCCGGAAUUAUUGGGCGUAAAGCGCGCGUAGGCGGCCCGGUAAGUCCGAUGUGAAAGUCAAAGGCUCAACCUUUGAAUGUCAGUGGAUACUGCCUGGCUAGAGUCCGGAAGAGGCGAGUGGAACUCCUGGUGUAGCGGUGGAAUGCGCAGAUAUCAGGAAGAACACCGACGGCGAAGGCAGCGCGCUGGGACGGUACUGACGCUGAGGCGCGAAAGCGUGGGGAGCGAACAGG
rnacentral:rRNA from 1 species